rnacentral:tRNA from 1 species
GCCAAUUUAGCUCAGUCGGUAGAGCAACUCAUUCGUAAUGAGUAGGUCUGGAGUUCGAAUCUCCAAAUUGGCU